GGCCGCCAGAGCACUUCCGGUAGCUUCACCUACUGCUGGCAGUUUAGAAUUCUAUGAGCUAUCCAGUUAUAUAUAUAGAUCAGUGAUUUUAACUAAUGAAACCGAAAUUACACCGUUGCUAGGCUACCCCGGAAGUAGCCGUUUGUUUACACGUUUUAUGGCUUUACAGAACAUCGAUGAAGCAGUCGUGAGAUUGGAAAGUCAAAACUAUUUACUCCAAAAUGCCCUUGUUUGGAAACACAUUCAGUCCCAAGAAAACACCUCCUCGGAAGUCUGCAUCCCUUUCCAAUCUACAUACAUUGGAUCGGUCUACACGGGAGAUAGAAUUAGGUCUGGAGUAUGGAGCCCCAGUAAUGAAUAUUGGUGGUCAGAGCUUGAAAUUUGAAGAUGGUCAGUGGAUCACAGAGUCAGCAGGUAAUGUAUCAGGAAAAGAGGUACAGCGAUUGAAGAAGAGGAAUCUACAAUUAGAGGAGGAGAAUAAUCUUCUCAAGAUAAAGAUUGAGGUUCUGCUUGAUAUGCUUUCAGAAUCAACAGCAGAAACGCAUGUAAUACAGAAGGAACUUGAAGAUAUAAAGAAUAAUUCUAGAAGAAAGAAGUGAUGGGGAAAAAAAAGGCCUCACUGAGUAACACUUUUAAAGUCUUGUUUUUUAAAAAACAACACAUGAUGUAAAAAGGAAAAUGCCACUAUUAAUCCUGGAGAUUUCCAACCUCGCAUGCAGGUACACCCUCCUUUAACCGUAGUUACACUCAAAAUUACAUGAAACGAUUAAAAGAGAAAAUAAACCCACAUCAAGUUGUUCAAAAAUCGACCCCUGCUAGAGACCAUAUCGAUCAACCAACUUCACCAGCUAUUUGCUGAUGAAAAGCAUGGCUCAGUUUAGACCACCAUGGGAAUUGCAUGCUUGUUAAUUGAUCUUUAACACAGAGUUAGUACAUCGAGAUGCGAUAUAAAAGUUUAGUGACAAUCACUUAGUGAUUCAGCUGUCCUAUGAAUGUUCUUACUAGCAGUAAAAAUAGUAUUUUGCACUUUCUCUGUGUAGUUUGGUAGAGUUUUGCAGGUGCUUGAAAAACAGAACACAUGAUAAAAAGGAUUUAAGACUAUUCUAGAACAUGUUCUUACAGCUUGCUUUCAUUGUGUUACUGUAUAUCAUUUCAAAUUUGAAAAAUGGAAGUUUAUUUAAUUCAUUUGAGUUGAGAAUACAUGGAUACUUUUUGUGGUGUUAAUGUAGCUUUGAUGAAACUGGGCAGGGGUUUUAUUUUUUUUCCAGCAUGCUUUACAUGGGACUUAAUAGGGAGAGUAAAUGUUAAAAUGAAGUGUUAUUUUAUGUGUUUUGUGCAAGAUGAGUAUAAAGGUGGAUACUUGUUAUUGUUUAAUGUAUUGGCAUGUUGAGAUUUAGAAGAGUUUCUGCUAUGGUGGAGUUUUGGGGGUUACCAUUAUGGUGAAGACUUUGUUGGGUUUACCCAAUUCAGCUAGGUUCUUUCUACAAAAUGUGUUGAGAUUACAUAGUCAUUUUAAUUUAACAAAACAUAUUUCAAACACGUGGAACCACUGUCCAUGAUUUAAUUAAGUUCAAAGCAAAAGAUAUAUUUUUUCGACUGCAUGUUAAAGUUCACCCAAAAAUGAAAAUUCUCUCAUUUAAUUACCCACAUGCCAUCCCAGAUGACUUUCUUUCUUCUGCUGAACACAAAUAUUUUUAGAAGAAUAUUUCAGUUCUGUAGGUCCAUUAAAUGCAAGUGAAUGGUGAUCAGGCAUUUGAAGCUCCAAAGAGCACACAAAGGCACACAUAAACAAAUCCAUACGAUUCCAGUGGUUUAAUCAAUGUCUUCUGACGCGGUCAAGUUGGUUUUGUGCGAGAACAUAUAACUCCUUUUUCACUGUACAUCUUGCCAGCAGUCUCCUUGGCGUUUAUGAUUUCAAUCCCGAUUACACUUCCUGUAGUGCCAUCUAGUGCUCUGGGUAAAUCAUGAGCUUGAAAUCAUGAUCCUAAAAAUCACGAAAUUAUAAAAUGCUCACUAUUUCAAAAGUAUAGUCAUAAGACAUAAAAAAUAUUUGUUAGCAUGAUUUUAGUUUGAUAAAAUCACCUACAAACACUUUUUUUGUAUAAAUUUACAGCCAAUUUUACAAAUUUGUUGCCAUGACAAUGCAAUGUCAGCAAACAAUAAAAUGACUGAAAAUUGACAAUUUAAACAACUUUACAGCUCAAAUAACAUGGGUUUAACAUGGGAUUAGUGCUUUUAUUAAUUAAUUUUCUUUAUAUUUCUGCCUUUUAAAUCCUCCAAAAAUUGGCCCCAUUCACUUCUAUUGUAAAGAAAAGGAGGGACAACUCUAAAUAAUUUUUUGUGGUAAUCAACAUUAUGCCACAAAUAUUGUCGAUUGAACUUAACUUGUAUUGAAUCAGGAAUAUUAAAAAAAUAUCUUAAAUAUUCCUUUAAGAUAUUUGUCAUCCAUCUUUCCUCUAAGAAAAUGUGUUUUGAUUCCACAUAUAGUAUAUAUGUGGAAUCUCUCUUUUGCUGGUCUAACAUAAUCAUAAACCAUUAUGGGAAUUAAUAUAGAGGAGAGAGAGACUGUAUGUCCCCCUGAUUGUGGCUGAAGCUGGGCUGUUCAUUUAUUGUACUGGGGUCUUAUUUUGACAAAAGCAGACCACUGACCAGUGGACUUGCUGCAGCGGGAAGCCCAGUAUUUUUGUCAGCUCUUAAUCCAUUAGGACAAAUGCUGCUGAACCGUUAUGGAUGAGAGGAGGCUUUCUCAUCAUAGGUGGUCUUCUGCUGAAUUGUUGCACCUGCAGAGCUGUUAUGAGAUCCCUGAAAUGUAAAAAAGGAAAACAAUAGCCAAAGGAGAGACCUACUCCCAAGAGCUCAAAGAAAUGCUGCCUUCUGAGGCUGGACAAAUGAGAAACAUUAGUGAAUAUCGUGACAGAGGAAAUU